GAUGAACGCUGACAGAAUGCUUAACACAUGCAAGUCAACUUGAACUUCGGUUUGGGUGGCGGACGGGCGAGUAACGCGUAAAGAACUUGCCUCACAGUUAGGGACAACAUUUGGAAACGAAUGCUAAUACCUGAUAUUAUGAUUUUAAGGCAUCCUAGAAUUAUGAAAGCUAUAUGCGCUGUGAGAGAGCUUUGCGUCCCAUUAGCUAGUUGGAGAGGUAACGGCUCACCAAGGCGAUGAUGGGUAGCCGGCCUGAGAGGGUGAACGGCCACAAGGGGACUGAGACACGGCCCUUACUCCUACGGGAGGCAGCAGUGGGGAAUAUUGGACAAUGGACCAAGAGUCUGAUCCAGCAAUUCUGUGUGCACGAUGAAGUUUUUCGGAAUGUAAAGUGCUUUCAGUUGGGAAGAAAAAAAUGACGGUACCAACAGAAGAAGUGACGGCUAAAUACGUG
rnacentral:rRNA from 1 species